rnacentral:pre_miRNA from 1 species
UGAAAGCAUUUUUAUAAAAGCACUUUUACGAAAGCACUUUUAUGAACACUCAUUUUGUAAAAGUGCUUUUGUAAAAGUGCUUUUGUAAA